GAUGAACGCUGGCGGCGUGCCUAAUACAUGCAAGUCGAGCGAACAGACGAGGCGCUUGCUCCUCUGACGUUAGCGGCGGACGGGUGAGUACCACGUGGAUAACCUACCUAUAAGACUGGGAUAACUUCGGGAAACCGGAGCUAAUACCGGAUAAUAUAUUGAACCGCAUGGUUCAAUAGUGAAAGACGGUUUUGCUGUCCCUUAUAGAUGGAUCCGCGCCGCAUUAGCUAGUUGGUAGGGUAACGGCUUACCAAGGCGACGAUGCGUAGCCGACCUGAGAGGGUGAUCGGCCACACUGGAACUGAGACACGGUCCAGACUCCUACGGGAGGCAGCAGUAGGGAAUCUUCCGCAAUGGGCGAAAGCCUGACGGAGCAACGCCGCGUGAGUGAUGAAGGUCUUCGGAUCGUAAAACUCUGUUAUUAGGGAAGAACAAAUGUGUAAGUAACUAUGCACGUCUUGACGGUACCUAAUCAGAAAGCCACGGCUAACUACGUG
rnacentral:rRNA from 1 species